UUAAAUAAGGGUGAAUAUUCCUGGCAGUCAGGUGGGAGUGAGAAAGUGACCUUUUUCCAAACAAUGGAAAUUGAAACAAUUCAAAGAAUAAAGAGCUUUGCCACAAGAAACUGCCUGAAACCGGGGUCAAAUCAACACUCUCCGUGCCCGUUAGGGUCUCUUUCAGCAUGAGGACUGUAAGCCAUCUCAGGGAUAACUGGAUGAUUUCUGGGACAUCUUUGGGGGGGACACACUCCUUGUCACCCCCUGAAGCAUGCCUGGGGCAUGAUCAGGGACAAAGAGCAGAACCCCCGGCCGAGAUCUGAAUCACCAGGAGUGACCUCCCUCUCUUGCUGUGAAGAAUGAAUUCCUGACUGCAAGUUUGCAAAUCAUACCCACUGUAGGUAACACUGAUGUCCCAUCAGUUGACUUCCCACCACCAGGGGCCCUCUCAGGGGCAGGGGGCUCCUGUCUUCCUAGAGCAGAGCGAGUGGGCAUGAGUGCCCAACAACCGCUACGAGGCUGGGCCAGUAGAGGCAAGACCUAGGCAUCCCAUGUGACAUGUGAUUACAUUCGCUUCCUUUCUCACCUCAGAAAAGAAAACAGAGUACAGAUCGCAUCACUCAAGUCAUUGCCCUUCUCUUACUGUCCCACAGAGUCAUUGUCUAGUUUGUGCAUUCCCCCCUCCUUUUCCAAGCACUGUUCACACUCACCUCCAGGAUCACUGGAUCCCUGACGUCUUGCCCCUCACUCACCACAAAUCACCCAAACUCAGUGGCGUAAGACAACUGUUUCAUUCUGCUCCUGGACUCUGCGGGCCAGGGGUUCAAACAGGAGAUGGAAAGGGCUGCUUAUCUCUGCUUCACAAUGUCUGGAGCCUCGGCUUGGAAGAAUCAAGGGCGGGAGGCAAUUCAAGGCAUGGCACUGGGGUCAUCAGGAGGCUCGCCCAUUCACACAUCUGGCAAGUUGUGGGCUGGGACCUCAGUGGGUUGUCAGCCAGAACACCCACACGUGGCCACUCCACACGCUUGAGCUGCCUCACAGCAUGGCGGCCUCAGUCUUUUGCAUGGCUCGGAGUUCAGGGCUCUGAGUGCAAGUGUCCCAGGGAAAAAAGAAACUGCAAGGCCUUUUGCCAUGUGGCUUUAGAAGUCAUGGAGCAUCUCUUCUGCCGCAUUCAGUUGAUUGCAAGCAAGUCAGAAACCUGCCCAGGUUCAAGGGGAAGGGACAUCCCAGGGAAGAUUGUGUGUGUUUCUGAGACACGUUUAAAACUCUCCAGAGUAGCCUACGUAGCCAAGUCCAAACUAGGCUUCAUGUGAGUCUCCAUCAGCUUCCCUGUAAGGAGCUCCUUUAUCUUCAAUUCGUGGACCCUGAGGUACUUUGGAGGUGAUCAUGGGGAAGAUACUUAAGCGCUUCUUGGUUCCUUGGCCAUGGUUGAAUUUGAAAGUGGCAGAACUUGCGUGGGAAGCCCUCUUUCCCUUUGCUCUUUCUCCAACCCGUGACCCUCCCCCAUUGUCUGACCACUGCACCCAGCCUCUGCUUUGACAGCUGUCUUGUGGGUCCCCGGGAGUGGUCUGGCACCCUCUUGUAUGUCCUUGCAGAAUGACUUGCAUGCUGAUGAUGUGUGCCUGGCUCAGCACAGACGUCUCCCUUCAAUACCUCCGUACCAAGCCCUUGCCUUACCACACUUUCUGCCUGAAGUUGUUCCCCGCCCCCCCCCCCCAUGGGGAGAAAGACUCGUGAGCAUGUUCCAGAAGGCAUCGAUUGGCCUGCCCUGCCUAGCACAAGGCACUUGCUCAGUCAAUGAUUGGUGAAUAAGUUAACCCUGGCUUGCAUGUGCUCUAGAUGACUCCCGGGGUCUGAUUCCAGCCUGAGUCACCAGAGGAUUCGUGGGGACUAGAGCAAAGGAGAGCCUUGCAUGUUGCCAGAAGGGAGGUAGUUCGAUAUAUGUGGGGUGCCGCUGUGCCCGUGUGUUUCGGAGGGACCGGGAGUGGGUGGUGAUGGUCCUGUGGCACGGUAUUGCAGGCUGGAGCCAGGACUUGACACGUUGGCAUUACCUGGCUUCUGCACAUCCGCCCUUUAUGAUCCCCAGUACUUGGAAACUUUUCUGGACACACUGAGAAGACUCUCCAAGAGCCAAGCUACCUGUCAAGUUUCCAGGGCCUCCGACCCCUGCUGCCUCUUCUUUUCCUCCCCAGAGUGUGUGGAUAAAGCACCAGAAUCUCUCUGGGGAAGCCUGACCUCACUUGAAAAAGGACCUGUUUGAGAGAGGUGUAUGUGUUGGCGGGGCCGGGAGGUGCCUAGACUUGUAGGGACCUGUAUCGAUGAGAGAAAUGACAAAAAUAAUCUUCUACUCAGUCAAUCCAGCUAAAGAUGCUGCAGUCCCAGGGAAACGUUUAGCAAGGAUCUGCUUUUGUGUUUCUCGUUUGUGAAAAGCAACAACAACAAACAAACAAAGGAAAAGACUCCCAGGCUUCCUGCGGUGAGGGAGCUAUGGGUUGGUGCCCGAAAGAAAGGGCUACAGACUGACUGAAGGAGUCUUCAUUGUGGGGGGAAGCGAGCUUGCUUCUUUUUCUUUCUUUUCCAUUCCCUGUGCAGACUCACAGCCCUGUGCACUUAAUUCUCCAUGCCUGUGCAUCAGCAUUGCAGUAGACUUUUCCAUAUGCUCCUUCCACUCUGAACAACAGCAUGGAUUGUUAUUUCCAACCUACAGAGGAAAGAACCGAGGCUCAGAGAAGUGAACUGAGUUGCCCAGAACAUAUUGCCGAUAAGUGGAUGAACCCGAUUAUUUAUUUAUUUAAUGAACAUACUAAGUUAUGCAUUGAGCUACGGAGAGAACAAAGAUGAAUAAAAUGUGUUGGUUCUGGCCAAGAAGAAAUUCAGCGUAGGAGCGGAAGAUAGCAAUUAUACAACAAUAUGAGUGUGGGAGGCGUUUCCUGGCACUUCUCCACCGUGACUUCUCAGCAGGGCUUCGGGGGGAACCAGGAGGUGGCCGUGCCAAAGGCUUUUGACUAACUGAGGGAAAGUCAACCCACCGCCCGGGGUGCCAUGACUGCCCCACGGCAUCUCGGAAGAAGUAGGCCAAAGAUCAUCAGGAAACAGCGGCUUCUGGGUUCACUGCCGCAAAGCAAGCUAUGGGAGUUUAUGUUCAGUAGACCACAACCACCUGGACAAAUGAUAACUACAGGUGGGAGCCUGUGCUAGUUGACCUCCCGAAGUCCCUUCCAAAAUGGUAGGUCCAUGAAGAGGACAGAGUGCACCGUUCAGAAAGGCUGGAACUUCCCAACACCCACGGAGAGAGGGACAUUGAUGACAGCUUCUUUCAAGAGCCAGUUUCUUACAUUUGUAGGAGCAAAAGGGUGGUGACCGGGACCCUCAGAGGAAAGGAGCUGAUAUGCAAGAUGCGAGGGUGCAAGAGGAGAGAAAAUCCUGGGCGGAAGAGACGCUGGGCCUUCGCAAGCGUUGCACCUUCUGACUUCAAGGGCCCUUUCAACAAAAGUGUCUACAGCUCAGGUGGUGUAGAAUUUAAAGUCAACAGUGAUCUUUCCUUCAUGUUUAGGAUGGUUUUUCCUUCUGGAUUUCAGAAGCCCAUGACUGAGAUUUCAGCCUUUGAACAAACACCCACCCAGCCACAUUUCAAACCACAAGUAACAACCGUGGCACAGGAGUGGUAGUUUCAUACCCAGUGUGUGGAUCCUGUCUCUGCAGGAUUCUGGUUUUAAGAAUGCCAUUGGCUGACUUCUCCAGAGGAGAGUUCCAGGUUCUCGGAGUGGGCUGGGACCAUGACAAAAGUGCCAGAAAGAGGUCUUCUAUGCUUGAUUGUCCCUCGAGUGAAUAGACCAGCUUCUUUCACCAAAGUCUGGGAUCCUUGGAGGCCUUUGGAGGGGAAGGUGAAAUCUUGGCACUAGAGUAUAGCGGAUCCUGGCUGUGGUUUGCCUACGACUCUUCUAGAUAAAUUCAGCAGACCGAGGCUGCUAUCUGACGUGGAAAUAACAAGCACAAGAGGAAAUAACAAGAGGUAAUCAGGUCUAAUAUUCCUCGGGUUUCCUCUUCCUCUGUGCUAUUCCUCUGUUUUCGUGCCUUCCCACGGCAGCAGGCCCUGAAGGCGCUGAGCCUAGGCUCUAGGAGCUUUUCAGAGGCUUUCGGACUUAGGAUGAUGGCUAAGAGCUCCUCUUUCCCCUAAAGCCCCACACUGGAUCCAUCAUUCAAAACAAAAUUGCGAAAUCAAAAGAAAUCAAUUUCUGCAAAACCUAGCAUGUCGACCAACUCCAAACCAACUCAAGUCUUAGACGGUCACAUGCCAAUUUACUUCGUGUGGGAUGUGGGUACAUUUUCAUACCUUUGAUGGGAUGUGGAAUGUGACCACAAAACCAAGCUUGCCUGGGGCCGAGGAGAGAUUUACAGCACUCUUCUCGGUAGCUUCUGGAAGGCUCCAGCCCCUUACGGAGCCAGCAUGUUGCAGGGCCUUCAGCGGUUUCUCCUGGGCCUGCGCUCCAAACACUGGGUGGCAGCACAGAACUUCCUAAGCUUCCUCCAGACUCUGACAGUGAACUUGAGAAUUCCACCUUAAGAGGGCCAUGCACAGAACCAUGCAAAAAGUGCAGUAAUUCUUGGAUGUGGCUAAUCUCUAUAAUUCACCCGAUUGCAGAUACAAGUGACAGCUGCAAUAGGGGUGAUGUUCUCGCAUUCGCUGUGUCACCAGGAUGCUAUUUCGAAUCUUCCUGAGAUUAGAAAAAGGAUUACAAUUGCCCCCAGGGCCUUGCCAUGUAAUUUUUAUCAGUCUUGAUCUGUGAGUUUCCCCCUGGCAGUGUGCAUGGGCUUCCGUGUGUGUGUGUGUGUGUGUGUGUGUGUGUGUGUGUGUGUAUGUGUGUGUGUGAUGAACUGGCCCAUGAUGAGAUGAGAUGUAAGGCUCCCGAGGACCACAUGGUCCAUUUUUUCUGCCACUGGACUCUCUUUCCAAGUUGGUCCCCAGCUCCAAGACUCUUUCUUUUGUUAUUCCUUGCAUGCGGCGCAGCAGGACCAACUUCAUGGGCAUCCAACCUGUUCAGCUAAACGAGGCCCCAGCGCUCAGAAGUCUCCUGUCUUUGGUUAAUCCUCUGUUAUUGCUGUCUUAAAAUUCUUAAUAAACAUUGGGGAGCCUGGGUGGCUCAGUCAGUUAAACAUC